AGAGAGCUGUACCGAUUUUGACCAGCUCACCCGGAAACUGAAGGCAGGAUACAUUCAGAAACCUCUAUCUCACUCAAAACAGCAUGGAUGGACUUUUCGAAAUUUGUUUGUGU